ensembl:lncRNA
AUGCUACCACCCGUAUGGGUGAGACCCAUAAAGGUCCUGGGUAGGUCAGUCCCAGCAGGGGGCUGCUGUCAGCCUGCAGCGAGGGAGGCGGUUAAUGGUCUUGUGCCAGCUCUCCCAGGGACUUGCUCCUGGACUGCAGGGAGAUGGCUCUUCCUUAAAGGCAUACGGCCUUUGGUGACACAGCUACCAUGGAACCGCAGGAAAGGAGAGCUGGAGGGGACUUUAAAAGCAGACAUGAAGAACAGAUUAUUCGCUCCCUCUGCUGUUGCCCUUUCUGUGUUUGAGGACUUUCAUUACGUCUUCCCUCGGUCUCCUCGGGGUCAGACCGAAGGCUCCCGGUACCGGCAGCCGGUGCUGCGGGACGGGCUCAGCUCUGGCAGCGGAGAUGGGCGAAGUGGCACCGGCCGUGCUUGCAGGCACGGCUGGGGUGAGCUUUUCACGGUGCUGGUCCCUGUGGGGGUGUCCCGUGGGGAACCUGGGAGGCUUGGCGAGGUGGUGGUGCCUUCGUGCAGGAGGUGUGGGGAGUGCUGGCUGCAGAGCUGCUGGCCGUGGGGCUGGGCUCCGCUGCAAAAUGUGUUGCAUCCGUCUGUGCCCAGGCUCAGGAGCUGCUGGCAUGGAGUCCUGUGCAGGGGUGUCCUUGUGGGACCACGCUGGGUGCGCUCCUAGGUGCUCCAGGCAGAGGACAACCGGGUGACUCUGCAGGUCGCUGGCAGCUGCCACCCUCAUCCCUCGCAGCCCCUGGGACCUGCCAGCCCAGGCGAUCCUUUCCUCAGCACUUGGCUAAGCCUGAGGUCAGCCUCUGAGAGCAGGAGAGGCUUGUUCUCUGCCUGCUUUAUCCGGGAUUUCUCCGUUCCCAGCAGCUGUCCCCACUUCACUGCUCCGUCUUCCCUCCUGGCCCAGUUUCUGAGCUCCUCUCCGCUCGCUUCGCCUGCCCCCUCUCUGCCCCCCGCAUCUCUCCUGCUUGUGGCUGCCCAGAGACGCCCAGCUCCUGCCCUCGGUCCGGGUGCUGGUGCCUGGCUCUGCCCUUCGUUAGGCUGCAGCUCCCAUUUGCAUGUUUAAUAUUUAAUCGCAAACCCGUCUGACAGAUCUCUUCCCUCCCGUCAGCAGUCGGUAGCGUAAUGAUUGUUUUGUUUCUGACUGUCAGCUCUGCAGGAGGCAGUUUGCUGAUAAUUUGGGAGAAGAAAUUUGGAGUUUUUCCACACCCACCCCUCUAUUCUUCUGGGCCUCUUAAGUAUAUGUAUAAAGUGUAUAUUUUUCAGUCAUGGUAAUUAUUGAUAUUUAAGGGGGUUGGCAUCCCCACCCCUUCUCCCCGCACCCCUGUGGUGAUGAGCUUGGUUUACUGGGAUUUGGGAUCUUUAUACCCCGUACUUCAUGUGUUAUUUAUCAAAGCAUCAGGUGGAGGGAUGAGAACGCUUGGUUCUCUUGCAGCUUCCACCAUUAAUAGGAAAAAUCGCUGAAAGUGCCAUGGUUUAGGGGAUGCCAAGCAUCCUAGCACCAGCAGAGAGGAGUGCCGGCCCCUGCAGACGCGCUGCGUGGCUCCCUGGCUCCGAGUGCAGGUGGGGAAGGUCCCGCUUUCCAUCCCUCUGACUGUAACAGCAGCUCCUACCAGCUCUUCUUUGGCUUGUGUGAUCCACCACAAUUUUGUGGUCCAGCAUUAUGGUUCACC